rnacentral:lncRNA from 1 species
UUUGUGGUCGGCAGUGCGCGAAGAACUAUUGUGUGGGAACGACACAGCGGAUGCGACAACCGAGGACUGAGCGCAUGGACUGGAUGACGAUCCCGAUGCUUCAAAGGCGGCAAAGCAUAAACGUCUCGCCUCUGCCUCUCAUCUCUCCACAGUCAAGCCAUCUGGAGCAAUCAGCCAGGUGCUGCCUUGCUCACCACCUCCAUGGGCCAAUAUCGGAGCACCACCUCCCUUACAACCUUGGAUAUGGUAACACACCUGAAUGAUGUCGCCAACGACCACCUCUGCCUGGAACGCACUAUACUCGCUGGUCACUUGCACCGUCCACGUCUAUCUCGGGAUCGCUUCUGCCCUUGGUGUACAAUUAUUCCUGAGACCAUCCAGCAUUUCCUCCUCCACUGCCCAUGUUUCCACUCCCACCGCACUGCAUUACGCUCCCAGCUCACAACUCGACUCGCGCAGCCUCAAGGGUCCACCCCUCCCGUCAACCUGCCUACCACCAACCUACUAUGCAUUCUUGAAGACGGCCAGGUACCGUGCCAGUGAUACCCACACAGAACUACCACAAGGCUCAUAAAGUUCUAUAGAUCAUCGCAACAACUAGCAAACAAUGCUUAAAUAACGACACAGGGUUAGUGUCUUCACACCACAAGGCGGAAGACGCAGGAGGGGUGGACAACUGGAAAAAAAAGUGAGGCGUUAGGUUUGUCAUGGCCCCUCUACAGUGUGUGUGUGUGUGUGUGUGUGUGUGAAGGUCAUGUCACGCCUGAAAGGCGAACCCACCUGCGUGUCCUGCCAGCAUCUCCAGCCUGCUGGUGGGAGGAGUAUGCCGAAGAAGCAAAAUCAGGGAGGAACAUGAGAAAAUGAGCAGAUGCAAGAGGACGGCACUUGAACAUGAGAAAAGGUGUAAGAGGACAACACGCGUGUAUAUGUGGCAGUCAGUCGUCCCUGUCAUGAGUUCCUCCCUGGUAAACUACCUCGCUUCACUUUGCAUCACACGUCUACUCCGUUGUUCCAUGACUGGUGCUGUUGCUGUCUUGUCCUGCUAUUUACUGCUUUCUUUUCUUGUGGAUGUACCUACCUGUCUAUGGUGUUCAGUACUUUACAAUAAAUGAGGAAAUGGG